rnacentral:ribozyme from 1 species
CUUUUUUCUUUUUUCACUUUAUCACACUAAUUCAACAUGCGUGAAAUCGUUCAUAUUCA